rnacentral:rRNA from 1 species
ACUAUAAGUAAGCGGAGGACAACACACUAAACAGGAUCUCCGUAGUAAUGGCGAAUGAACAGGGAUGAGCUCAGCAUGGAAAUUGGGGUCUGCGGCUUUGACUUGUAAUAUUGUGAGGCAUUGCCAACAGAGGCGCAGAUGUAAGUCUCUUGGAAAAGAGCAUCAAUGAAGGUGAGAGCCCUGCUUGCCAUUUGCAGCUCCCCUGUGCACGGUGUGCCUGCUAAGAGUCACGUUCCUUGGGAUUGGAGCGCAAAGUGGGUGGUAACUUUCAUCUGAAGCUAAACACUGGUUUGGGACCGAUAGGAAACAAGUACCAUGAGGGAAAGGUGAAAAGGACUUUGGAAAGAGAGUUAAAAGUGCCUGAAAUUGCUGAAAGGGAAGCGAAUGGAACCAGUAACAUUGAGUGAGAUUGUCACAUACCACAGUGAUUGGUUGCUGCCUUGCCCCAGCGAGGUGGCAAAUUUAGUGCUGUGUUUGUGUGGUGUGUCUUGCCCUGUGUGUCACUGUGGUUUUAUGCACUAAUACAAUCCAAAGUUCAUGGUAAUAUAUUUCUGUAUCUGUGAAUGUGGUUUGUGGUGUUUAUGCAUAAGCUUGUUCUUGCCUGUCUUGCUAACGAGUCCAAUCUUCUACAUUGGGUGUGGAGGUGUCUAAACUCUCCAUCUGCACACUACUGACUAAA